GGAGCCGACGAAGCCGGCGGCGCCAGUGACAAGGACGGAGAUGCCAUGAGGGCGCUUUGGUGUGGCGGAGGAGCGGACAAGGCGCUCCCAGUCAGCACCAGAGUUGGUGGCUUCGCCGCCGAGGAGGAAGCGGUGGUUGGUGGUGUGGGCGAUGGAGGUAAGGGGAGGGUAGUUGAGGGUGAAGAGAAGGAUGAGGACGAAGGCGGCGAGGAGGGUGGCGCGGAAGAGGAUUUUUGAGGUGGCGGUGAGGAGGCGAGCGGAGUUCACGCGGCGGAGGUAGCUAUUGUACCUCUCCAGCUUUGUCGUCUUGCUGGUGUCCGGCGGGAAGGCCAUGGCGUCGGAGGAGGCAGCGUUGAAAGAGGAGGAGGCGGCGGCGGG
rnacentral:misc_RNA from 1 species